UCCGUAGGUGGUUUGUCAAGUCUGUCGUCAAAGAAUGGAGCUUAACUCCAUAAAGGCGGUGGAAACUGGGAGACUAGAGUUCGGUAGGGGUAGCGGGAAUUCCCAGUGUAGCGGUGAAAUGCGUAGAUAUUGGGAAGAACAUCGGUGGCGAAAGCGCGCUACUGGGCCGAAACUGACACUGAGGGACGAAAGCUAGGGUAGCGAAAG
rnacentral:rRNA from 1 species